UCGCCUGGCCGCCUGGCCGUGAGCCGCUGCGGGGCAGAGAGCUGGCUGGGAUCCCGCAGAUGGAGAAAAGGCCCACACGAUGAGGCAGCCGCAGCCAGACUCCACUGCUGCGGGGACAGUGCAGCGACUCCCCGAGGCCCCCUCUGCCCCAAACCGCAGGGCGGGCGCGCGCCCCGCCCCCACCACGCCCGACACCCGGGCUCCUGCGGCCUAGGCCCUUAGACUCUGAAGGCAAGGACAGCCCCCAAGCAGCCUGCCGGGCCUCGGAAUGGAUGAACCAGCGCUGCCUGUCUCUUCUGGGCCAGAGGGAGUGAGGGCUGCGCGCUUUGAAGACGGGGCAGAGGAACCCAGGAGGCUGUGGCCCGGGACAAGCGGAGGUCAGGCCAGCGAGGGGUCGCCAGCACCUGGCGGCGGAGCUGCGUCUGAGCUCAGACCGCCACGCGCAGCUGUGUGACUUCAGGCAGGUCGUGGGCGUUGGGCGGUGUGCACCCUCUCAUCCACAGGCCAGCUGGGGCCACUCCUCCUCCCCGGCCUCGCCCAGUGCCCGCACCUGGCUUCUGUCUCCUUCAAGCUCUUCGUCGCCGAAUUCCAAGAACCUAGAACAGUGCCUGGCACACAGUGGCUGGCUGGCAGGCAGAGGUGACCCAUUCACCUCCCUGGCUGGGGCGCCCCUACUCCAGUGACCUGUCACGCUGCGGUGACUGGGUCACCCCCGCCGCCAGCUUUGAGGGCAGAGGUCACCGGUCUGGUCGCCCCACCCCUUCUAUGUCAACAUCUCGGUCAGGACACACACCGCGUCCCCGGGAGCCCCGACCCACGUCAGCGCCAAAGAAAUCAGACAGGUCCAGCAGGGCCAGCUGCUGCGCUACGACCCGGGCUCCGGCUGGGCUCCAGCGCCGCCUCUAAUUGGCUGUGUGACCUUAGGCUAGGGCACCGGCCUGUCUGGACACCUCAGUUUUUACUCUGUGUAUGUGACACACGGACAGAGCCCUAAUUACUCACCAAGAAUUGUUCUAAGAACUUUACACACACGUAACCCAUGUAAUUCGCCUGGGAACCCGAGGCGCUGGGUUGCUAGGAUCUCCCGUGUCACACAUGACAAAAGGAGGCCCAGAGAGGUUGAAGGGACCCGCCCUGGCCCGAGGUCACACAGCACAGCUGAGCCUCCCCUUCCUUCCGGAGGGAAAUGGCCGGGCUGUGCCACAGUCCUGGCAGGGACCUCACACAGCGGCCACCUUCCAGCUGCCGGAGACAGAGAGAGCCACAGGCCAGAGUCACACCGCGCCGGCUCCCACAUGCCGCUGAUGGCCCUGCGAAGGUGCGGUGGCAGGGACGAGCCAGGACCGCAGAGGGCGCGCACGGCCGGUCCCAAACACGGUGACCCUGGCUGCCGCCUGCCGCGCUCAUCCGGACAGGCUCGGCCCUGGAAGGAGGGGGC